CCUGCGUCUUACAAUAAUUAACUAAAAUGUGUACUCUCCUUCAAAUAAAUUGUACUAUAAAAUUUAGCCUAAUAUGAAUCUAGGGAACUUAUUUCAAUGAAUUGUAUUUCCAACUAAAGUUUCAACAGCCUUAUAAAUUACAGUAGUACUUUGAUUCAAAAACAUCCCCUCAAUAUUAACCAUAGGAAAUUUAUUCCUGGGCUCUUAAUUAAUUAAAACCAUCUAUCAAAUUUGAAUAAUAAAAUACAAAAUCUAUAAUUAUAUUCUAUUCAAUAUUAAGUUACUAUUGGUUAGGUUCGUAAGUAAUUAUUUCAGUUUUCGAUUUUACCAAAAUUAGACUAUCAGCAAUGAUGGAAGUUCAUUACAUAAGAGUGACCACAACUCAUCAUCAGUUUUUUAAAAUCACUAACAUAACAAUUAGUUACAAACUUAAACAAUGUUUACUAGACAAUUUAUAAUUUUUUUAAAACUACCUACUCCAUACUUGCUUUUUAUCACAAAUACUGAGGUAAAAUAACAAAAUAUUGACCUAUGGUUAAUAAUUUCCAGGAACAAACA